rnacentral:rRNA from 1 species
AGUGAACGCUGGCGGUAGGCCUAACACAUGCAAGUCGAACGGCAGCACAGUAAGAGCUUGCUCUUACGGGUGGCGAGUGGCGGACGGGUGAGGAAUACAUCGGAAUCUACUUUUUCGUGGGGGAUAACGUAGGGAAACUUACGCUAAUACCGCAUACGACCUACGGGUGAAAGCAGGGGAUCUUCGGACCUUGCGCGAUUGAAUGAGCCGAUGUCGGAUUAGCUAGUUGGCGGGGUAAAGGCCCACCAAGGCGACGAUCCGUAGCUGGUCUGAGAGGAUGAGCGCCCGCACUGGAACUGGGCCCCGUUCCGGCCCCCUCGGGGAGCCACCGGUGGGAAAUUUUGGACAAUGGCCCCAGGCCUGACCCACCCCUCCGGCGUGGGUGAAGAGGGCUUUGGGUUUUUAAAGCCUUUUUGUGGGAAAAAAAAAGCAGCAGUUUAAUCCCCCGCUGUUUUGACGUUCCCCAAAAAAUAACCCCCGCCUACUUUCGUC